rnacentral:rRNA from 2 species
GUUUAGAGCCUGGAUUGCCUAUACGUGUGGGUAGCUCGCUGUUAAUGGCCCAAUUGAUUGAUGGUGCUUGCACCUGAUUGAUUUUGGUCGCCAACGAGUGGCGGACGGGUGAGUAACACGUAGGUAACCUGCCCAGAAGCGGGGGACAACAUUUGGAAACAGAUGCUAAUACCGCAUAACAGCGUUGUUCGCAUGAACAACGCUUAAAAGAUGGCUUCUCGCUAUCACUUCUGGAUGGACCUGCGGUGCAUUAGCUUGUUGGUGGGGUAACGGCCUACCAAGGCGAUGAUGCAUAGCCGAGUUGAGAGACUGAUCGGCCACAAUGGGACUGAGACACGGCCCAUACUCCUACGGGAGGCAGCAGUAGGGAAUCUUCCACAAUGGGCGCAAGCCUGAUGGAGCAACACCGCGUGAGUGAAGAAGGGUUUCGGCUCGUAAAGCUCUGUUGUUAAAGAAGAACACGUAUGAGAGUAACUGUUCAUACGUUGACGGUAUUUAACCAGAAAGUCACGGCUAACUACGUGCCAGCAGCCGCGGUAAUACGUAGGUGGCAAGCGUUAUCCGGAUUUAUUGGGCGUAAAGAGAGUGCAGGCGGUUUUCUAAGUCUGAUGUGAAAGCCUUCGGCUUAACCGGAGAAGUGCAUCGGAAACUGGAUAACUUGAGUGCAGAAGAGGGUAGUGGAACUCCAUGUGUAGCGGUGGAAUGCGUAGAUAUAUGGAAGAACACCAGUGGCGAAGGCGGCUACCUGGUCUGCAACUGACGCUGAGACUCGAAAGCAUGGGUAGCGAACAGGAUUAGAUACCCUGGUAGUCCAUGCCGUAAACGAUGAGUGCUAGGUGUUGGAGGGUUUCCGCCCUUCAGUGCCGGAGCUAACGCAUUAAGCACUCCGCCUGGGGAGUACGACCGCAAGGUUGAAACUCAAAGGAAUUGACGGGGGCCCGCACAAGCGGUGGAGCAUGUGGUUUAAUUCGAAGCUACGCGAAGAACCUUACCAGGUCUUGACAUCUUGCGCCAACCCUAGAGAUAGGGCGUUUCCUUCGGGAACGCAAUGACAGGUGGUGCAUGGUCGUCGUCAGCUCGUGUCGUGAGAUGUUGGGUUAAGUCCCGCAACGAGCGCAACCCUUGUUACUAGUUGCCAGCAUUAAGUUGGGCACUCUAGUGAGACUGCCGGUGACAAACCGGAGGAAGGUGGGGACGACGUCAGAUCAUCAUGCCCCUUAUGACCUGGGCUACACACGUGCUACAAUGGACGGUACAACGAGUCGCGAACUCGCGAGGGCAAGCAAAUCUCUUAAAACCGUUCUCAGUUCGGACUGCAGGCUGCAACUCGCCUGCACGAAGUCGGAAUCGCUAGUAAUCGCGGAUCAGCAUGCCGCGGUGAAUACGUUCCCGGGCCUUGUACACACCGCCCGUCACACCAUGAGAGUUUGUAACACCCAAAGUCGGUGGGGUAACCUUUUAGGAGCCAGCCGCCUAAGGUGGGACUAUGGAUGAUUGAUGCUGUGAGUCAUACGCAAUAUUCUGACGAAA